CUGAGUACGGCGGAACACGUGAAAUUCCGUCGGAAUCCGGGAGGACCAUCUCCCAAGGCUAAAUACUCCCUAGUGACCGAUAGUGAACCAGUACCGUGAGGGAAAGGUGAAAAGCACCCCGGAAGGGGAGUGAAACAGUUCCUGAAACCGUGUGCCUACAAGUAGUUAGAGCCCGUUAAUGGGUGAUAGCGUGCCUUUUGUAGAAUGAACCGGCGAGUUACGAUUUGUUGCAAGGUUAAGCGGAAAAAGCGGAGCCGUAGCGAAAGCGAGUCUGAAUAGGGCGCAUAAGUAACAGGUCGUAGACCCGAAACCAGGUGAUCUACCCAUGUCCAGGAUGAAGGUAAGGUAAUACUUACUGGAGGUCCGAACCCACGCACGUUGAAAAGUGCGGGGAUGAGGUGUGGGUAGCGGAGAAAUUCCAAUCGAACUUGGAGAUAGCUGGUUCUCUCCGAAAUAGCUUUAGGGCUAGCCUCGAGGUAAAGAGUCAUGGAGGUAGAGCACUGUUUGGACUAGGGGCCCUUCUCGGGUUACCGAAUUCAGAUAAACUCCGAAUGCCAUGUACUUAUACUCGGGAGUCAGACUGCGAGUGAUAAGAUCCGUAGUCGAAAGGGAAACAGCCCAGACCACCAGUUAAGGUCCCCAAAUAUAUGUUAAGUGGAAAAGGAUGUGGGGUUGCUUAGACAACCAGGAUGUUGGCUUAGAAGCAGCCACCAUUGAAAGAGUGCGUAAUAGCUCACUGGUCGAGUGACCCCGCGCCGAAAAUGUACCGGGGCUAAACAUAUUACCGAAACUGUGGAUGAACCUCUUUAGAGGUUCGUGGUAGGAGAGCGUUCUAAGGGCGGUGAAGUCAGACCGGAAGGACUGGUGGAGCGCUUAGAAGUGAGAAUGCCGGUAUGAGUAGCGAAAGAAGGGUGAGAAUCCCUUCCACCGAAUAUCUAAGGUUUCCUGAGGAAGGCUCGUCCGCUCAGGGUUAGUCGGGACCUAAGCCGAGGCCGAUAGGCGUAGGCGAUGGACAACAGGUAGAGAUUCCUGUACCAGUGCUAAUUGUUUAACCGAUGGGGUGACACAGAAGGAUAGGGAAUCGCACGAAUGGAAAUGUGCGUCCAAGCAGUGAGUGUGAGAAGUAGGCAAAUCCGCUUCUCGCGAAGCAUGAGCUGUGAUGGGGAAGGAAAUUAAGUACGGAAGUUCCUGAUUUCACGCUGUCAAGAAAAGCCUCUAGGAAGAGUAGUACUGCCCGUACCGCAAACCGACACAGGUAGAUGAGGAGAGAAUCCUAAGGUGAGCGAGAGAACUCUCGUUAAGGAACUCGGCAAAAUGACCCCGUAACUUCGGGAGAAGGGGUGCUCUAUUAGGGUGCAAGCCCGAGAGAGCCGCAGUGAAUAGGCCCAGGCGACUGUUUAGCAAAAACACAGGUCUCUGCAAAACCGUAAGGUGACGUAUAGGGGCUGACGCCUGCCCGGUGCUGGAAGGUUAAGAGGAGUGCUUAGCUUCGGCGAAGGUACGAAUUGAAGCCCCAGUAAACGGCGGCCGUAACUAUAACGGUCCUAAGGUAGCGAAAUUCCUUGUCGGGUAAGUUCCGACCCGCACGAAAGGCGCAACGAUCUGGGCACUGUCUCAACGAGAGACUCGGUGAAAUUAUAGUACCUGUGAAGAUGCAGGUUACCCGCGACAGGACGGAAAGACCCCGUGGAGCUUUACUGCAACCUGAUAUGGAAUGUUUGUACCGCUUGUACAGGAUAGGUAGGAGCCGAAGAGACGUGUGCGCUAGCAUACGAGGAGGCAAUGGUGGGAUACUACCCUGGCUGUAUGACCAUUCUAACCCGCCACGCUUAGCGCGUGGGGAGACAGUGUCAGGUGGGCAGUUUGACUGGGGCGGUCGCCUCCUAAAGAGUAACGGAGGCGCCCAAAGGUUCCCUCAGAAUGGAUGGAAAUCAUUCGCAGAGUGUAAAGGCACAAGGGAGCUUGACUGCGAGACUGACAAGUCGAGCAGGGACGAAAGUCGGGCUUAGUGAUCCGGUGGUUCCGCAUGGAAGGGCCAUCGCUCAACGGAUAAAAGCUACC
rnacentral:rRNA from 1 species